UUUUGAACACACAUUGUGCUUUCGGGUAUUCCCGGUAGCAUGCUUGUCUGAGUGUCUGCGGAUCCCACUCAGCGCUGGCCUCG
rnacentral:rRNA from 1 species